CACGUAGGGCGCGAGCGUUAAUCGGAAUUACUGGGCGUAAAGCGUGCGUAGGCGGUUGGCAAAGUCAGCUGUGAAAGCCCCGGGCUUAACCUGGGAAUGGCAGUUGAAACUAGUCGACUCGAAUCUGGCAGAGGGGGGUGGAAUUCCACGUGUAGCAGUGAAAUGCGUAGAGAUGUGGAGGAACACCGAUGGCGAAGGCAGCCCCCUGGGCUGAGAUUGACGCUCAGGCACGAAAGCGUGGGGAGCAAACAGG
rnacentral:rRNA from 1 species